rnacentral:rRNA from 1 species
UGAGUAAUGUCUGGGAAACUGCCUGAUGGAGGGGGAUAACUACUGGAAACGGUAGCUAAUACCGCAUAACGUCGCAAGACCAAAGAGGGGGACCCUCGGGCCUCUUGCCAUCGGAUGUGCCCAGAUGGGAUUAGCUUGUUGGUGGGGUAACGGCUCACCAAGGCGACGAUCCCUAGCUGGUCUGAGAGGAUGACCAGCCACACUGGAACUGAGACACGGUCCAGACUCCUACGGGAGGCAGCAUG